rnacentral:rRNA from 1 species
AAAUUGACGGGGACCCGCACAAGCGGUGGAUGAUGUGGAUUAAUUCGAUGCAACGCGAAGAACCUUACACCCUUGACAUGUCCGGAACUUGCCAGAGAUGGCUUGGUGCCCGAAAGGGAAUCGGAACACAGGUGCUGCAUGGCUGUCGUCAGCUCGUGUCGUGAGAUGUUGGGUUAAGUCCCGCAACGAGCGCAACCCUUAUCAUUAGUUGCUACGCAAGGGCACUCUAAUGAGACUGCCGGUGACAAACCGGAGGAAGGUGGGGAUGACGUCAAGUCCUCAUGGCCCUUAUGGGUAGGGCUUCACACGUCAUACAAUGGUCGGUACAGAGGGUUGCCAAGCCGCGAGGCGGAGCCAAUCCCACAAAGCCGAUCGUAGUCCGGAUCGCAGUCUGCAACUCGACUGCGUGAAGUCGGAAUCGCUAGUAAUCGUGGAUCAGCAUGUCACGGUGAAUACGUUCCCGGGUCUU